rnacentral:lncRNA from 1 species
CCAGCUCAAGUUUUAUGUUUCCCUUUCGAAGUAUUCAAUAGUCUUCUAGUUAGCUAUCUAGCUAGCUUUUCAAAGAGCGGCCUGUACGCUUUCGAGAAGAAGCAACAAAGGGGCGGGGCCAGCAGAAAGUACGGAGGCUGGGAAAGGACAAGAGAGUGCAGUCGCGAAAGGGUGAGAGGUUCGAGGGAAAGGGUUUGAACUAGCUUACACAUUUGCGCAAACCACAACCACAGACAAAAUCUGAAAAUAUAUUUGCAACAAAAUGUUAAGAAGACGCCUUCGUCCAAUGACUCUUCGGUGUAAUGUAAUGGAACUGCAAAUCAUGAUCAAGGGCAAUACAAGAGUCUAACGAGGCAAUUGAGAGAAUAAUGGAGCUGGAAGGACAUGAAAUGACCCACAUUCUUGUUUUUGUGAACGAGUCGGGGUUCAAUCUGGCCAAAGGCAGGACACGUGGCCGCAAUCUUAUUGGACACCGAGCCACAAUUGGCACACCAGGCCAAAGUGGGGGCAAUUUUACAAUGCGUGCUGCCAUUUCUGAGAAUGGCGUGAGCACACACAUAUUCCACACAUUGGGCCCUAUAACAUCCAACUUCUCCUGUCCUUCCUAAAUACACUUUACAGAGACCUAACACCAGAACACGAAAGAGGUUUAGUUAGACCAGAUUUGCCAAAUGAUGUAAUUGUGUGGGAUAAUGUCAGCUUCCACCGAACCAACAUUGUUAGGGAAUGGUUUGCUGCGCAUGAAAGGAUAACAAUGGAGUUCUUCCACCAUCCUCCCCAUUCCUGAAUCCAAUAGAAGAGGUUUAUUUCAGCACGGAGGUGGAAAGUAUAUGACUAUCGGGCACAAGAUCAGAUGUCUCUGUUAGAUGCCGUGAAUGAUGCAUGUGAGGACAUCACAUGUGAUCAAUGCAGGGGAUGGUUGCGCCACGCAAGGAGAUCUUUUUUAUUUCAUUUUGGUGGCAUUGGGCCAAUUUACAAAAAAUAACUCGAUUUUGAAGCAUGAAUUAAAUGUUUUGGGGUGAGUUACUACAUUUUGCAGACAUGCAAUAGAAUUGUGAUGUUCCAUAAAACAGUUGUGACAAUUGCACUUAGAGUUCACAAAAUGUUAAGACUGUUUAAAAAAAUGAGCCAAAGCGAUCGAGAAACUGUAAAAAGUACCAUUUAUAUUCAUUAAAC